CGUUAUAUACACGAUGUUGUUGUAUAACAGCAAAUGAACGUUAGAAUACGAAGACGUUGGAUAUUUAGAAACCAAAAUAUUAAAGUGAUUUUAGCAUGUAAAACGAAUCUAGACGGCUUGUUUGAGUUCAAGAACAACGUUAUAUGGCAAAGAAAGAGACGUUAGCGCUCGUUAACGUUAGCAGUGCUAGUGCUAGCAUUCAGCUAACACAGUAACGUUAGCCCGGCUGGAUCGGCGAUGUAAACAAGUCUUCCAGAGCCAUUUUGCCUGCAUUUGAAGCUAAUACCGAAAUGUGCGAGCGAUCAUUAAUGUUAACGUUUAAGACUGGACGCGUGUCGAGGAUGUUUCCGUUAGCAUACAGUAACAGUGAACCGUGAACUCACAGUGUGGCUGGAAGGUUUGCAUCGCUGCCAUCGGCUCGCUUUCUUUGCUCUUGACAGUUUGCAUGUGAAACCAAUCUUUUUUUUUUUUUUUUUUUUUCUGUUUGACGCACGGAGAGACAACGUCUGCAUCAACCAAUGGGAAAUGAGAACAGCUUCAAGAAGGUGUGACUCGAAAACCUGCUUGAGCCAAUAAGCAACGACCAAAGUCAGUCAGUAGGCGGGGGCACGACAAGUUCCCAAAGAUGAGAAGAGCUUUAGCGGCCUCUAGCGAAUCAGUUUUGUGCCAGGAGCGUUCCAGCUAAUUACUGAAUGAGGUCCCCCUGGCCUUGGAAGGCGGUCUUUAAAAGCUCCUGUACCAGCAUCAGAUACCAACAGCUCCUGCCACAAAGACCCUCUGUGAGGAGGCCCUCUGCGGUCCGCCGCCCUCAUAUGGCUUCCAUUAGCCAAAGUCAGGGGCGUUACACUCUCUGUGACUUACAGCUACAGGUCAGGCUAGGACAAGGAGGCUCAUUAUGAAUGCAGCUCUAGUCUCUGUACCUCUGGGCUCUGGGUUCCUGCAUGAGUGGGGGUGGAGUCCAAUAUUUGCCUGUAAAAUGAUUUCAAAGACUCACCCACCUAAUUUAAGUCUUUCCUUAAAUUGCCAUAAAACUCAUAAAUGUGGA